rnacentral:rRNA from 1 species
GGUAGGGAUACCCGCUGAACUUAAGCAUAUCAAUAAGCGGAGGAAA